CCCAGACUCCUACGGGAGGCAGCAGUGAGGAAUAUUGGUCAAUGGGCGAGAGCCUGAACCAGCCAAGUCGCGUGAGGGAAGACGGUCCUAUGGAUUGUAAACCUCUUUUGUCGGGGAGCAAAAAGGCCUCGUGAGGCCACAAGCGAGAGUACCCGAAGAAAAAGCAUCGGCUAACUCCGUGCCAGCAGCCGCGGUAAUACGGAGGAUGCGAGCGUUAUCCGGAUUUAUUGGGUUUAAAGGGUGCGUAGGCGGACUGGAAAGACAGGGGUAAAAUCGAGAGGCUCAACCUCUUUCCGCCGUUGAAACUGUCAGUCUUGAGUGGGCGAGAAGUAUGCGGAAUGCGUGGUGUAGCGGUGAAAUGCAUAGAUAUCACGCAGAACUCCGAUUGCGAAGGCAGCAUACCGGCGCCCAACUGACGCUGAGGCACGAAAGUGCGGGGAUCGAACAGGAUUAGAUACCCCCGUACG
rnacentral:rRNA from 1 species